UUUCUUUUUUCUUUUUCUUUUUCUUUUUCUUUUUCUUUUUUUCUUUUCUUUUCUCUCCUUUUCUUUUCUUUUCUUUUUCUUUUUCUUUUCCUUCCUUCCUUCCUUCCUUCCUUCCUUCCUUUCUUUCUUUUUUUUUUUAUAAAAGCAAUCAAACCAAACAAACCAAAACAGCAUUUGUCCUGCUGCCUGCAAGCAGGGUGAGGUGACGGCAGAUCAGCGGAGGAGAAAUGUCACUUCAGACUGUUUUUUUUCCCCACUGCUAAACAGUGUUGUACACCACACAAACGGGACUGCAAAGGAAACUGAAAACAGCCAACCCCCGAAACCUCCAAACUCAGAAAAGCCAAAGAAACAACAUGAGCAAAGAGAAGUCCUUAUAGGAAGAGACUUGAGAUUACGAUCCAGAGAUUUCGAACCUCCUUCUCUUGGUCAUCGAUUUAAAAAGCCAACAACAUAGAAAGGCUAUGCAAGCUUGGAACACUGUGACAAUCUCAUCCUAAGGGCUGGGGACACAGCCCAACAGACUUCUUUCCAAGAUCCACUCCUAGGUCCUUGAGGCAGUUUCCAGGCUCCUAGGAAACCUAGCUGGACUCUUGGCAUGCAGAUGGUGAACAUCUCAGAAAGUUGCAGAAGCCCAUGGAGCUGUGUGAAGACUCUGCAUCCAUCCACCCUCCAGUUACCUUCAUGUUCCUUCCACGCAUCAUCACCACGUCUUUCAGAUGAGGGGGUAUCUUCUUCUGAGCUCUUCAGGGAAGAUGGCGUUGUUUAGUUCUCAAGCAAGUGGGAGUCAUGCACAGCUUGUCAGCAGACAGUGUCCACACAGUGCUGGAGACCUGGGAGUCCUGAAUCAUAGCCCUAGCAGUGUGUGUCAGAGGAAGGCCUCGUCCUGUUUCUGAAGGCCCUUUUCUUACAUGUUGGCGGAGAUGAACGAGCUUCUUGGGACCUCUUUUACAAGGACACCACCCUCAUUCAAGGGGGGAGAAUCAAUCCUCACGACCUGAUCCCCUCUCCAAGAUGGCCACACCAUCAUUUUUGGGGCUUGCUUUUACACACAGCAUGGUGUUUCUGGAGACUGGCUGGUCUUUGGUGUGCCCCUGCACCCAGCUGGGUGGCCUGGAAUUUCAUCCUUAGCACUGCUGAAAGAGAAAGACUUACUUUAGGUUCUGCUCCUCAGGAACCCUGGAGAAAACAUUUCCCUGAGGGGUUUGAGGUACAAAUUUGAAUGAUAUUUUGUAUCUGAGUGUUGGAUUAAAUAAUAAUUUUGGC